rnacentral:hammerhead_ribozyme from 1 species
GCACUGCUGUGGAGUCCCACAAUAGGACGAAACGACCGUCCUGUUC